UUUUGGCCAUUUGCUAUGACACGCCUAACACAGGGUCAAUGGAGCACAUUAUGGUGUGGUUGGGGAACUGGCUUGAGAACUUUCCUUCAAUACUAGUUUGCCAACAUUAAAUUUGAUUAUACCCUCAAAACCAGAACCACAUUGAUUCCAGCAAAGAUUUGAAAGCUCCUCCCAGAAAGACGCCCCUCCACUUAUCUAUUCCUACCAUCUUUUUCCUCGCUCGAAAUUUGUGGCUCCGGUACCCAGGCACUUUGAUGACAAAUCCUUUAUAUCAUAUUUCAGCAAAAAGUGGGGGUUACUGCCCCAAUGUUCCUUCGGUGUGCCUCUCAGACAGAACUGCAAUGACUGCAGGUCCAUCAGCCAGAGACAAAACAGAAAAAAAACAAAGCAAAAAUAUAUUUGAUUAUUGAGACUUUCAUUGAUGUUCAAACUUUAAAAUACAAUUUAAAAAAUACAAUAUUACAAGGGAUUAAAAAAUAUUUUCCAAAGCAUGUUUAAAGAACAGAAAUAAAUAAUGAGCAGAACUCUUUUAGUUGUGGAUAAAGUAAUAGCAAUUAAUCAAUAUGUAGAGUGAUCUGUAUGUAGCCCUUUCAAGUUGGUAGUUGGCAAGUAGAAGCACUUUAAAACAGACUGGAGGGAUUUUUAUAAUAUGCCGUUUUUUUGUCAGUAAUUGUCUGAGUUUGCAGUUUUCAGAGUAAUUUUAUCUUCAAACUCUGCAGUUUCCUGAUCUAAUGAAAGCUCUUUUUCAGGCACCACAAAAAUUCAGUUGGUAACGAGAACAUGCUCGAAGCAGGGGCGGAUCCAGAGCAAAUUUGAAGAAGGGGCAGUUGGUAGUAGUGGGGGCGCUAAAAAAUUUGCAAAAUUGGUGACGAGAGUUCGUUGUAUACAACAAUUUCAGAUCCAUUUUUGGAAUAAACAACAUAACUUUGAGGUAAUCCUUGAAGCAAAUUAACCUAUCGGUCCAAGAACCUUUUUCAUCUGAUUCUCAUUCUUCAAAAGGAGCGCAGAAUUUCCAAAAAAAAAGCGCCAGACUUGCUUCAACUCGUUGAGGGAGGGCCCCAAGUUGCCCCCCCCUUUAAUCCGCCACUAGCUCGAGGCGUCGAGAUUUCAACAAUCUAUUUCAUUUUGGCAAUUAAUUCACUUCUCAUAAACUUCAAUUUCAUUUCCAGCUGUCCCCAGUUAUAGCACAAGCCCUGACUUUGCGUAAAAUAAAAUAAAAUAAAAUGGCAUAGCAACAAAAUUAAACAACUUACCAUUAUUUUAUAGUGAUGUUAAUUAUUGCUCAAAACGAAUAAAGCCCUAAUAAAUAUUACAUUUAAGAAUAUGAUUUUUAAAAAACGCGAGUUUGUAUACACAUUGUACCAAGGGAAAAUAGCUUUAAGAGAAUUAUCUUGUUCUUUGCUAACGAGGGGAACCGCGCAGUCUUUGGGCUACCCUGGGUGCCAGAGCCUCAGAGAGUCAAAUGAUGAAGACCGGGAAAAGGAAUUGCGAUUGACUCUCUCAGCCCACCCACUUUAGACUGGUGCGAGAUUCCUGGUAAACAGUAUGAUAAUGUAGGGUGGAGGCCAGUUCCUUUUCUAGACGCCUAAUCUCUU